UACGUAGGUGGCAAGCGUUAUCCGGAUUUAUUGGGUGUAAAGGGCGUGUAGGCGGGAGCGCAAGUCAGAUGUGAAAACUCAGGGCUCAACCCUGAGCCUGCAUUUGAAACUGUGUUUCUUGAGUGCUGGAGAGGCAAUCGGAAUUCCGUGUGUAGCGGUGAAAUGCGUAGAUAUACGGAGGAACACCGGUGGCGAAAGCGGCUCUCUGGCCUGUAACUGACACUGAGGCUCGAAAGCGUGGGGAGCAAACAGG
rnacentral:rRNA from 1 species